AGGUUGUACAAUGGAUGCCAGAUAACAUGAGUACUUGCAGGGUCAUAAGUCAGAUUCCUCCACUCCAAAAGAUGAAAUUAUGGCUGAAACACCUGCAAUACUACCACUAGAGCAGAGCAACUGGAGAAAACCCAGAUGACCCUGGAGGAAGAGAACCAGGGCUGGGAAGGAGAGGCAAGACUUUAAGAUGGGACGAAGCAGAGUCUAACCGGGCACUUUCAACGUCAAGCUCAGCACCAGAGGGGCAGGCUGUGGGAGGUAUCGAAAGGCAAAGAAGUUGAAAGCAACAGUCCCGCAACUUUUAACUGCCAGGAUGAUAGCAGGAAACCUACACAGCCAUGGAGACAGAAGCAGCCCCUGCCAACCAAUCUCCAUUUACGAAACUUAACCCCCACCCAGUUUUGUUGUUGUUUUGUUUUUUGUUUUGUUUUGUUUUGUUUUGUUUUUGUCGAGCACUACUGGAGCUUAUUCAUUUUUGGAGUUAUUAAUUAUAAAUAUAAAUAACCCCGA